UGCAACCCUGCGACGGGCUGGGGAGGCCGGUAUGCGUGGUUCCCGGAGCACCCGUCCCCCGAGGCUCCACGUACUCAAGCGUUUCUGGGGCGGAAUUCUGUGGGCAGCAACGGGGGCCCCCUCUCCAACAAGCGCACCUCAUUUCUCACGUGGGAGCCGCGGCCCAGAGAGCUGAGGUGACAGAGCUUGGGCCGCAGAGCUGCUCCCUCCCUGCAGCCGCACAGCAGGCCGGAGGCACAGCCGGCGAGAGACGGCCACUCGCUUUGGAGCGGCGGCGAGGCCGGCGCCUUCCCGGGCACCAGGGACUGCGUGGCUUGGCCGGAAAUCAGGCUAGAAGCAGCUCCGGGAAGCACAGCCCUUAGCCCAGCGCCUUCCCACACUGUGGCAGGAAUAGCACUGGCGGCCCACGCGCUUGUCAGGGAACAGAACAGCUCUCGCCCGACGCCUGGCAGGGGAGCAGGGAGGCUGCAGCUUCCCCAGCGACCAGCUGUUUCCCAGGCUGGCGGACUCCACGGACCGGCUCCGCGUCUCCUCUCCAGCCUUCUGUUCUCUCUAGAGGAAGAUCUGCGUUUUGUCUGCACUGUGGGCCGACUCUCUAGUGGGGAGCGUCAGACCCUCUAAAGUGGCUGCCUCUCGGGAAAGCUUCCACACCUGUCAUCAGAUUCUCCAAAGGGGCUGUUUGAUGCAAGAAACGGGAAGCCCCGGGGGUACUAGGAGCAGGGCUUGCUGCCAUUGGGCAUGGUGAGGCCCCGGCACCCUGCCCAGGACGGGCCUGUGGGCUGAGCUGCAGAUGGGCAUUGAGGAUGCCCCAACAGCAAGGUGCAGAAGGCAUCCAGAAGCAAAGGAAACUGAUGACCAGCGUCAAAAACAAACAAAAAAAGGGAACUUGGCUCGGCGGUGGCUCACGCCUGUAGUCCCAGCACUUUGGGAGGCAGAGACAGGUGGAUCACGAGGUCAGAAGUCCAAGACCAGCCUGGCCAACAUGGUGAAAUCCCGUCUCUACUAAAAAUACAAAAAUUAUCCAGGCGUGGUGGUGUGUGCCUGUAAUCCUAGCUACUCGGGAGGCUGAGGCAGAAGAAUCGCUUGAACCCGGGAGGUGGAGCCUACAGUGAGUCAACAUGAAGCCAGUGCACGCCAGCCUGGGCGACAGACUCUGUGUUUGUGUGUGUGUGGGGGGGGGAGGGCGGGGCGAGGCGAAGGGAACUUGAGGUUUAAAGCAGGGGGAGGAGGGCCGGAAAUGCUCCCCGCCGCCCCCGACACUCACUCGCCCCAGGCCCCAUCCUAGCCCAGGGUCAGUGUCAUUCCCUUCACCUUAGCCUCUCACUGCCCAAAGAGGCUUACUUUUCUUCUUUAAACUGCUGUUAAAAUUUGGGAGGAAACGGAAAGCAAGGGCACCUGAUGGUUCAGUGCAGCUUCAGGUUAGAGGGGCAUUUGAGGUGCCUGAGCUGGGGGAGGGCCUUCCCCCUGAGGGACUGGGAGAAGGGUAAGCCAUGUGCCCUGGAAGCACUGCAGGGAGCCUCAGAUUUGCACCCCCUGGCUCACACUCGCUGGCGCCAGCCAGCAUGGCAGGGAUGGGCGGGGCUGGUUCUUAGGUUUCCUGCUCUUUGGGUGCUAGCACCCAGGGUAAGGAGACACCCAUGUCCGGUUGCAAGACAAACCCUUCUACCUCCUUUCCUGCCAAAGGCCACCAGCAUCCUCUGCCUCAAUCUCAAUCUUUGGAACUUUUUAGCUCCAAAGUGGUUUGAUGACCACAGGCUAAAAUUCAUAGUCUUAAAAUUUUAGAUAGUUAAGAGACAGAUCUGUUACAGGUUUUCAAAUAAACUG
rnacentral:lncRNA from 10 species